rnacentral:tRNA from 1 species
AAAGUUUUAAGUUAAAAAAACUAAAGACCUUCAAAGCCUUAAAUAAAAGAAGUUGACCUUUUAAACUUUA